GACGAACCGUGCGAACGUUAUUCGGAAUAACUGGGCUUAAAGGGAGCGUAGGCGGGCUAUCAAGUCUGGGGUGAAAUCCCGCGGCUCAACCGUGGAACUGCCUCAGAUACUGACGGCCUCGAGGGAGAUAGGGGCAUGCGGAACUGUAGGUGGAGCGGUGAAAUGCGUUGAUAUCUACAGGAACUCCGGUGGCGAAAGCGGCGUGCUGGAUCUCUUCUGACGCUGAGGCUCGACAGCGUGGGGAGCAAACAGG
rnacentral:rRNA from 1 species